rnacentral:rRNA from 1 species
AAUCAACGCUGGCGGCGUGCCUCAGACAUGCAAGUCGAACGCGAAAGCUCCCUUCGGGGAGCAAGUAGAGUGGCGCACGGGUGAGUAACACGUAGGUAAUCUACCUUUGGAUGGGGAAUAACAACCGGAAACGGUUGCUAAUACCGCAUAAUGCAGCGGCACCUAAUGGUGACAGUUGUUAAGGCGGGGGAUCGCAAGACCUCGCGUCUGAAGAGGAGCCUGCGGCAGAUUAGCUAGUUGGUAAGGUAACGGCUUACCAAGGCGAUGAUCUGUAGCCGGCCUGAGAGGGCGGUCGGCCACACUGACACUGACAUACGGGUCAGACUCCUACGGGAGGCAGCAGUCGGGAAUUUUGGGCAAUGGGCGAAAGCCUGACCCAGCAACGCCGCGUGAAGGAUGAAAUCCCUCGGGAUGUAAACUUCGCAAGAACGGGAAGAAUAAGUCGGUGUAAACACCACCGACGAUGACGGUACUGUUUGUAAGCUCCGGCUAACUCCGUGCCAGCACG